rnacentral:rRNA from 1 species
AUUGAACGCUGGCGGCAGGCCUAACACAUGCAAGUCGAACGAGUGGCGGACGGGUGAGUAAUGUCUGGGAACCUGCCUGAUGGAGGGGGUUAACUAAUGGAAACGGUUGCUAAUACCGCCUACCAUCGGAUGUGCCCAGAUGGGAUUAGCUAGUAGGUGGGGUAAAGGCUCACCUAGGCGACGAUCCCUAGCUGGUCUGAGAGGAUGACCAGCCACAAUGGAAGUGAGACACGGUCCAGACUCCGAAGGGGGGCAGCAGUGGGGAAUAUUGGACAAUGGGCGCAAGCCUGAUGCAGCCAUGCCGCGUGUAUGAAGAAGGCCUUCGGGUUGUAAAGUACUUUCAGCGGGGAGGCGUUACCCGCAGAAGAAGCACCGGCUAACUCCGUGCCAGCCGCCGCGGUAAUUC